GUGCAACAACCUGAGGAAGUAGAAGAAUACGGGCCCUGAAAGUAAAAACUCUUCUACUUGCGAGACAAUCAUAAAAACAUGUUUUUCACGAAUUUAAGAUGAAACACAUUAGAUAUCGGUGUGUGGGUCCACAUUCAUUUUUUUUCUGAGCACCACAGAUAUGACGGCGCAGAAACCACGUGUUUUACGUAAUAGAAAGCCAAUCUUUCAAUUUAACCCCUCCUCUCCGUCUAUUCCUAACAGAGGUAAUUCAUGCAAACGUCUCCUUCCUUGCGCGCCGCACUUUCAGAGAUGUCAGCAGCGUGGAGAUGAAAAGACUUGAGCAAAUUAACCCACAGAGGGAAGAAACACACACUCCGGGAAUGCACGGACACACACCACAAGCCGGAACCUGGCUACCACAGAACCGCUGCGGUGCGGGACCUCAUAUGUGAGAAAUCAAAACUGAGGCUGCUGUUACAUGUCCUCGCCAAAGAAUUGGCUUCAUAUGAGACGCGAAUUGGACUUGAUCCCGCCAGCAAUGAGGCAUUUCGCUGGGGCUAUCGUUGCAGCAGUGUGUGCAUAGGAUGCAUCCUCCCCUGGCUUUUGAUGCUGUGCAGAUCCACCCUCCUCUCUCCCCAGAGUGAUGAACUAAUAGGCAAUGAUUUUCUUCUCGGAAAUCCGCCGUGGUUUCAUGUCUUCACGUUAGUUGAGUUUGUUUACUGACGACCCGACCUCCUCCCGGUGCGACACAUGCAAUUUAUAGAGUAUUUUUUCUAUUGUAGACUAGUUGAGGAGGCAUUCUCCACACGGCAGAAAGAAGAAAACACACCAUUAUUCCGAAGUCUGACAGACACAGACUGUUUUGAAUGAAAGCGCAUAGGACUUGAAUCUAUAGCCCACUUAUUUCUUUUUUUUUUUUUUUUAUAUGUUCCAACUGGUAGCCUUGUUCGGGAGAACUGAUCCAAUUGUGUUAUUAUGCAACCGCAAGGAUCUCAUCUAUAUCUGGGUGUUUAAGCCACUGGAUUGCUCUUCGCCCAAAUCAAUGUGGUUUCUUUGGAACAUUUUCAGCAAAGGAACGCAUAUGCUGCAGUGUCUUUGUGGCAAGAGUCUUAAGAAAACCAAGAAUCCAAGUGGGUGUGACAGACAGGUGCAGCUGCAACAAGUGUUUCUCAUUUAAGACCAAUCACCGGGGCUACAUAAGUAGCUGGAACUUGGAGGAAGGCGUCAGCUCGUUGUCUCUGCCAGCGUGAUCUGAUCAUUGUGUGAAAGUGUCCUGGAUUCCAAGCUUCUGUUCUCUCUAUUCAUGCUCAGGCAAGUGUUGGAAAUAACUCCCUGCCGCUCCAGCCUUGAAUCUGCCUUUCUUUCUUACCUCCAGCCUCGCAGCUCUGAAAUCACCUUGUGGAAACACCAAACUACUGCUCACCUGCCUGUUACAGGGUGCCACUUCCCACCAGGGCAUAUUACUUGGACAGUAUCAUUCACUUAUCCAGUCCCUAACUCAGCCACAAACCGAUAUCAAGCAAACAGCCAAUUUCAUUGCUCACCAGGUUCAAGAUGUUGUUUCCAGGUUUUCACGUCCUCCUGUUAACCGUGUUACAUCUGUUUUUUUUCUUCAGCCCAGCCCUCCAAAAGCCCCGUCUAGAUGUUGGCCAUGAAAUAAUUUCACCUCGUCCCGAACCGUUCUCUGGGGACCUCAAAAAAUGCAGGCGGUUCUCCCUGUAAUGUAACCUUGUCUCCCCGUUUUUUUCCGGACUACACAAGCAAGAUCUCAUACAUCAUUGGUAUACUCAGGCAUUAAGGUGUGCUGAAGCUAUCAUUGAUGAAACAACUAUUCUGUUCUAUUCAUUUCAAGAUUUUCUGGAUUUAUUCAGAAAAUCUUGAAAUGUGAAAACAAGACCGGGUUGUUUCUGCCUGCGCCACAUGCGCCAGAAACAAAUGUUCUUACAGACCUCCUGCUGGCUUGUUACAACCCCUAUCCAUACCAAAUUGCCAUUGGUCUCACAUUGCUUUAUAUUUUGUCACCGGUCUGACUUCAUCCAAAAACAAAACUGUUAUUUUAUCCAGCACUGUUUCUCUGAAACCUGUCAUUUAUUGGCUCUUUCAAAACUCCAUUCUGCUGCUGAAACCACUAAGCUCCACAUAAAUUAUGUGUUCAGGCUCCAGGGUAUCCCUUUGGAAAUUGUUUCCGACAGAAGACCCAAGUUCAAUUACAAGUGUGGCGAGAUUUCUGCUCAGCCCUAGGUGUAAAAUCUCAAAUUUCCUCUGGUUUCCACCCCCAAAACAAUGUCCAAUGUGAAGGAGCACUAACAAUACCACUUCUUGGAGCAAACAUCUCAUGGGGGUUGAAUAUAGCCAUGUUUCAGGAGCAUCCAGUCUAUCAUCAUUGGAUGGUUGGUAGCCUAGUGAGGCUACCAUCCCUUCCUCUUUCCCUGACUCUAUCCUUCCGCCUGUAAGAACCCAUCUUCUCCACUGUCAGCGAAUCUGGAAUCAAACCAAAACUGCUCUGUAAUGAACCUCCCAUCAAUACAAGGAAUAUGUUGGCAGAAGGACACCUGAUCCCACCUACUCGGAGAUCACCUCGUGGAAACACCAAACCAUUGCUCACCUGCCUGUCCAUCCUCCAACACCACGUGCUCAGCUGAAGCACUGCCUCUUAAGGAUCACGAAGGGAGAAUGUCAGUACUGUGAAUUCUGUGCUGCUACUCCUGCCAAAAGCGGCCUCUGCGGGGAAGACUUACCACCUCCAACAAGCCAUCAUCCACCACCAACAGUAAGCUUACCUCAGUCCUAUCCUGCACUACUCCCCAUAUGUUCCUCCGAACAACAAUAACCUCUCUCAACUCCUCUUCAGUGCCAGUCUAGAGCCCUCCGGCUGAUCCAGUCCGAGUUCAGUUUCAUUCUGGUUGUGUUACAAAUAAACUGGUAAAACUAC